rnacentral:rRNA from 1 species
AUGACGAGGCACUGCGGUGCUGAAGCAACAAAUGCCCUGCUUCCAGGAAAAGCCUCUAAGCAUCAGGUAACAUCAAAUCGUACCCCAAACCGACACAGGUGGUCAGGUAGAGAAUACCAAGGCGCUUGAGAGAACUCGGGUGAAGGAACUAGGCAAAAUGGUGCCGUAACUUCGGGAGAAGGCACGCUGAUAUGUAGGUGAAGUCCCUCGCGGAUGGAGCUGAAAUCAGUCGAAGAUACCAGCUGGCUGCAACUGUUUAUUAAAAACACAGCACUGUGCAAACACGAAAGUGGACGUAUACGGUGUGACGCCUGCCCGGUGCCGGAAGGUUAAUUGAUGGGGUCAGCGCAAGCGAAGCUCUUGAUCGAAGCCCCGGUAAACGGCGGCCGUAACUAUAACGGUCCUAAGGUAGCGAAAUUCCUUGUCGGGUAAGUUCCGACCUGCACGAAUGGCGUAAUGAUGGCCAGGCUGUCUCCACCCGAGACUCAGUGAAAUUGAACUCGCUGUGAAGAUGCAGUGUACCCGCGGCAAGACGGAAAGACCCCGUGAACCUUUACUAUAGCUUGACACUGAACAUUGAGCCUUGAUGUGUAGGAUAGGUGGGAGGCUUUGAAGUGUGGACGCCAGUCUGCAUGGAGCCGACCUUGAAAUACCACCCUUUAAUGUUUGAUGUUCUAACGUUGACCCGUAAUCCGGGUUGCGGACAGUGUCUGGUGGGUAGUUUGACUGGGGCGGUCUCCUCCUAAAGAGUAACGGAGGAGCACGAAGGUUGGCUAAUCCUGGUCGGACAUCAGGAGGUUAGUGCAAUGGCAUAAGCCAGCUUGACUGCGAGCGUGACGGCGCGAGCAGGUGCGAAAGCAGGUCAUAGUGAUCCGGUGGUUCUGAAUGGAAGGGCCAUCGCUCAACGGAUAAAAGGUACUCCGGGGAUAACAGGCUGAUACCGCCCAAGAGUUCAUAUCGACGGCGGUGUUUGGCACCUCGAUGUCGGCUCAUCACAUCCUGGGGCUGAAGUAGGUCCCAAGGGUAUGGCUGUUCGCCAUUUAAAGUGGUACGCGAGCUGGGUUUAGAACGUCGUGAGACAGUUCGGUCCCUAUCUGCCGUGGGCGCUGGAGAACUGAGGGGGGCUGCUCCUAGUACGAGAGGACCGGAGUGGACGCAUCACUGGUGUUCGGGUUGUCAUGCCAAUGGCACUGCCCGGUAGCUAAAUGCGGAAGAGAUAAGUGCUGAAAGCAUCUAAGCACGAAACUUGCC